rnacentral:rRNA from 1 species
GAACUUGCCUCUUGGACUGGGACAACUGUUGGAAACGACAGCUAAUACCAGAUAUUAUGAGAUUCUCGCAUGAGAAAUUUAUGAAAGCUAUAUGCGCCAAGAGAGAGCCUUGCGUUCCAUUAGCUAGUUGGUGGGGUAACGGCCCACCAAGGCGACGAUGGAUAGCCGGCCUGAGAGGGUGAACGGCCACAAGGGGACUGAGACACGGCCCUUACUCCUACGGGAGGCAGCAGUGGGGAAUAUUGGACAAUGGGCCACAAGCCUGAUCCAGCAAUUCUGUGUGCACGAUGAAGGUCUUCGGAUUGUAAAGUGCUUUCAGUUGGGAAGAAGAAAGUGACGGUACCAACAGAAGAAGCGACGGCUAAAUACGUGCCAGCAGCCGCGGUAAUACGUAUGUCGCAAGCGUUAUCCGGAUUUAUUGGGCGUAAAGCGCGUCUAGGCGGAAAAAUAAGUCUGAUGUUAAAAUGCGGGGCUCAACUCCGUAUUGCGUUGGAAACUGUUUUUCUAGAGUACUGGAGAGGUGGGCGGAACUACAAGUGUAGAGGUGAAAUUCGUAGAUAUUUGUAGGA